UAUGUGAUCGUCUCUCGCAUAUCAAUAAGCGGAGGAAAAGAAACUAGCAAGGAUUCCCCUAGUAACGGCGAGUGAAGCGGGAAGAGCUCAAAUUUGAAAUCUUAAAGGGUUUCCCUUUACGAAUUGUAGUUUAAAGAAGUGUUUUCUGUUGAGGUUUUGGUAAAAGUUCUUUGGAAUAGGACAUCAUAGAGGGUGAGAAUCCCGUAUUUGACCUUUACUUUCAACUUUGUGAUACACUUUCAAAGAGUCGGAUUGUUUGGGAAUGCAGUCCAAAAUGGGUGGUAAAUUUCAUCUAAAGCUAAAUAUUGGCGAGAGACCGAUAGCGAACAAGUACCGUGAGGGAAAGAUGAAAAGAACUUUGAAAAGAGAGUUAAACAGUACGUGAAAUUGUCAAAAGGGAAGCGUUUGACACCAGUGUUGUUUUUCUGAAAAUCAAUUAAAGAACUGUUUAUGCUAAGCUUGUUUAGACUUUAUCAGCUAACUGUUUAGUUUUGAGCUUUUCUUUAAUGCACUUUUCAGUUAACAAGUCAACAUCAAUUUCUUUUGCUGUAAAAAAGCUUGAGGAAGGUGGCUUGAGAUUCGUCUUAAGUGUUUAUAGCCUCUUGCCUAUGCAGUCGGAGAGAUUGAGGUCUGCAGCGUAGAUCCUUCGGGGCUAAAUGCAUUUGUGCUAAGUUAUAACAUUUUAUAGACAACUUGUUGACUAUGAUUUGUCUUGUAGCUUACUCGCUUAUGUUAUUUUACCUACGCUUAGGAUGUUGAGUAGCGACAUACGCAC
rnacentral:rRNA from 1 species